rnacentral:rRNA from 1 species
CGUGCAGGCGGUUGAUUAAGUUGGUUGUUAAAUUCCCUGGCUCAACUAGGGUUCAGCAAUCAAUACUGGUCGGCUAGAGGGCAAGAGAGAGAAGUGGAAUUCUCGGAGUAGCGGUAAAAUGCAUAGAUCUCGAGAGGAACACCAGUUGCGAAGGCGGCUUUUUGGCUUGUCCCUGACGCUGAAGCGCGAAAGCGUGGGGAGCAAACA